UCUAACCUCUCUAAGAAUAACUUACAAAAGACAGGACAAAGUUAGAUAACAGAAAAUCCGAAAAAAAACUCAUUUAAAAAAUUUAUCACUUUUUCAAGUACCUUUAUCGAUAAAAAGAACUUGAAUAUCCAUUGAGAAUAAAGACGAGAAUUAGACUCGAACGACUGCACGGACGACAUUUACAUCGAUUGCAGAAGUUGGAAGGUGUGACGAGAGCCAAUUAUUCUGACGUCAUACAGAUUUGGAGGUGGAGAGAGAACAAACUAAGUAUGGAGACAUAGAUUUAAUCGACAAUCCCUACCCAACCUGACUUUUCCCCUCUCCUAUUCCUAAAUCAGAGUGUGACGUCAGACUCUAAAAGUCUGGAAUCCCCGUCGAUAACCCUGCAUGCAAGACAAAAUAAAACACAACGAGAGGCAACAAACUUACGAAUUCCAACUGUGUGGAUCGAGCAAACAAGUAAGAAAGAAAGAAAGAAAGAAACGUUUUCUCGACUGGAUGCACUUCAUACUCCUGAGAAUUACUUUUCUAACGGAUUAAUCGCGUUUCAGUUACCAUGGGUCCCGUAAAGUCAACGUGAUUGCCAAGUGGCGGUUCGUUCCCAUGGCGAAAAUUCCUACAAAGCUUUUGUUCACGAGAAAGAAAUGAGAGAAGAAAGAAGAAAGGAUAUAUGUGAUAUGGAAAGAGAUCGUAGAUAUACCAAGUCAUGGUGAUCGUUUCAGAGAUGAUUUAAAUAAGAAUAAAAAAUGAUUGUGAACGCAUAUUACAUAAAUGGAUUUCAUAUGUGACAC